UACAGAGGUCUCAAGCGUUGUUCGGAUUCAUUGGGCGUAAAGAGCGUGUAGGCGGUUCAGUAAGUCUGCUGUGAAAGUCCAGGGCUCAACCCUGGGAUGCCGGUGGAUACUGCUGGGCUAGAGUACGGAAGAGGCGAGUGGAAUUCCCGGUGUAGCGGUGAAAUGCGCAGAUAUCGGGAGGAACACCUAUUGCGAAGGCAGCUCGCUGGGACGUUACUGACGCUGAGACGCGAAAGCGUGGGGAGCAAACAGG
rnacentral:rRNA from 1 species